rnacentral:lncRNA from 1 species
AUGUUUCCUGGAGUAGGCAGGCAGACUUUUGAGUCACCCUGGCUGCAAGUGACCAUAUUCCAGCCAAGAUUACUAGCAAUGGGAAAGAAGGUUUGGAUUUCUUCUCAAGUUAAAAGAACAUCAGGUCGAGGGGUUGUUCCUGGUAACAAGUACAAAGAUUGUCAGGCGACACGUGGGUACCUCAUGACUCAGAACUGGGAAGCCUUUCUUCCCUUUGAGGAGAUGCUACCAAACUCACUUUGGAGCAUUGCACUGGUGAAGGGUGAGUAACCUCUUGUUCAGAUAGGCUGACUCCUCACACCUUGGUGAGUGUCUCAGAUAGCAGGUCAACCCACUGCUGAGCUGGGUCAAGCAGGUCAAUCAACUGUUAUGCUACCUCCUUAUCAGGUUUGGCUGCUUUAGCUACCAGAAGAUCCUAUUACUAACUACAGUUGUUGGUAGCAGGCUUCUCUGAUGACUUCAGUGGAUGUCCUAUUCUCACUGGUCACCUGGAUGUUCCCAUCACAGUAUACUUUGUCACUCAAAAUAAGAAGAACGUACCCUAAGAAACAGAGGCUCUUUCUCCCAGAUGGGAAGAAGCAGCCACCCAUCUCUACAUACUCACCUCCCAAACCUAGCAGCUCAAAUUAGAAGGCUUUUCAUCAUCACAUAGUAUUAACUUCAGUCAUCAUGGACAAAACAGCCUUUAAAGUUUCACACAUUAGCUUGGAAGCAUUUUGCAUGCUCUGUAGAACCCACCAGGAAGGGCAGAUUUGAGCAUGUUCAAAAGACUGAGCCCUCAAUGGCUCCAUUACAAGUAACUUCCUGGGAAACUGAGGCACUUCUGGUACAGAGAAAAAAGUCCCUGCUCUCAAGGAGCUUACAUUAAGCUGGUUUGUUAUAUUCACCUUUAUACAUGAGAGCCCUGUAUACCUUUAUUUUCAUUUUCUAGAAGACAUGUCAAACUGUAAGAAUCCCUAUUGGCUGCAUAUUGAUUUAGAAAACUACAUGUU